AUACAGAGGGUGCGAGCGUUAAUCGGAAUUACUGGGCGUAAAGCGCGCGUAGGCGGCUUAUUAAGUCAGAUGUGAAAUCCCCGGGCUCAACCUGGGAACUGCAUCUGAUACUGGUAAGCUAGAGUUUUGGAGAGGGAAGUAGAAUUUCAGGUGUAGCGGUGAAAUGCAUAGAGAUCUGAAGGAAUACCAGUGGCGAAGGCGACUUCCUGGCCAAAAACUGACGCUGAGGUGCGAAAGCGUGGGUAGCAAACAGGAUUAGAAACCCGAGUAGUCC
rnacentral:rRNA from 1 species